rnacentral:rRNA from 1 species
GUGGGGAAUUUUGGACAAUGGGGGCAACCCUGAUCCAGCCAUUCCGCGUGAGUGAAGAAGGCCUUCGGGUUGUAAAGCUCUUUCAGCAGGAACGAAACGGUGGCCACUAAUACUGGCUACUAAUGACGGUACCUGAAGAAGAAGCACCGGCUAACUACGUGCCAGCAGCCGCGGUAAUACGUAGGGUGCGAGCGUUAAUCGGAAUUACUGGGCGUAAAGCGUGCGCAGGCGGUUCCAUAAGACAGAUGUGAAAUCCCCGGGCUUAACCUGGGAACUGCGUUUGUGACUGUGGGACUCGAGUGUGGCAGAGGGGGGUGGAAUUCCACGUGUAGCAGUGAAAUGCGUAGAGAUGUGGAGGAACACCGAUGGCGAAGGCAGCCCCCUGGGUCAACACUGACGCUCAUGCACGAAAGCGUGGGGAGCAAACAGGAUUAGAAACCCUUGUAGUCC